rnacentral:ncRNA from 2 species
UAGUAAAUAGGGGCAAUGAAUCGCCACUUGUAUCUGGGCACUUAGGUAGCGAGGAGCCAAUAGUGAAACCGACCAAAUUAAGG